rnacentral:rRNA from 1 species
UACGUACUGUGCGAACGUUAUUCGGAAUCACUGGGUUUAAAGGGUGCGUAGGCGGCCCGUUAAGUCAGUGGUGAAAGCCUCCAGCUCAACUGGAGAACUGCCAUUGAUACUGACGGGCUUGAGUACAGACGAGGUUGGCGGAAUUGAUUGUGUAGCGGUGAAAUGCAUAGAUACAAUCAAGAACUCCGAUUGCGUAGGCAGCUAACUAGGCUGUAACUGACGCUGAGGCACGAAAGCGUGGGGAGCGAACAGG